AACUACUCUUAGGUUGAUGCAGAAGUAACUACGGUUUUUGCAAUUGAAAGUAAUGGCAAAGACCACGACUACUUUUGCAAUAGCCUAAUAGUU
rnacentral:miRNA from 1 species